rnacentral:rRNA from 1 species
CCUACGGGGCGCAGCAGUGGGGAAUAUUGCACAAUGGGGGAAACCCUGAUGCAGCGACGCCGCGUGAGUGAAGAAGUAUCUCGGUACGUAAAGCUCUAUCAGCAGGGAGGAAAAUGACGGUAUCUGACUCAGAAGCCCCGGCUAACUACGUGCCAGCAGCCGCGGUAAUACGUAGGGGGCAAGCGUUAUCCGGAUUUACUGGGUGUAAAGGGAGCGUAGACGGCAGCACAAGUCUGGAGUGAAAUCCCGGGGCUGAACCCCGGAACUGCUUUGGAAACUGUGCGGCUGGGGUGCAGGAGAGGUAAGCGGAAUUCCGAGUGUAGCGGUGAAAUGCGUAGAUAUUAGGAGGAACACCGGUGGCGAAGGCGGCGUACUGGACUGUAACUGACGUUGAGGCUCGAAAGCGUGGGGAGCAAACAGGAUUAGAUACCCCGGUAGUC